UGCAAAGGUGGAGAUACCUAAGC
rnacentral:siRNA from 1 species